rnacentral:rRNA from 1 species
UACGUAGGCAGCAAGCGUUGUUCGGAGUUACUGGGCGUAAAGGGUGCGUAGGUGGCUCUAUAAGUAUGGUGUGAAAUCUCCCGGCUUAACUGGGAGGGUGCGCCGUAGACUGUGGGGCUAGAGUGUGGGAGAGGAAAGUGGAAUUCCUGGUGUAGCGGUGAAAUGCGUAGAUACCAGGAGGAACACCGGUGGUGUAAACGGCUUUCUGGACCAUAACUGACACUGAGGCACGAAAGCGUGGGUAGCAAACAGG